rnacentral:ncRNA from 1 species
GCCAAUUUGAUCCUAGUUGCCUAGUUAGCUUUCCCACUCUAUCACAUGCAAGUAACUUACAAAAAUUGGUUACUCCUCCAAAUUUGCAGUGAAUAACUUUAAGCCAUGGGCGCCAGCCCGACUUAGGAACAGGGAGAAACACCGGCAAAUCUCGUGCCAGCAGCCGCGGUUAUACGAGAAGUGUUAGCUAACUACUCCGGCGUAAAUGUGGCCAAACUAACCCUUACAAACAAAUGCUCUUCCCGCUGUUUGCACGCCCCUAAAAACCAGAAGUUUGUAUUUAGAUGCCUAACCACAAAAGCUAAAAAAUAAACCGGGAUUAGAUACCCCAUUAUAUUUAGCCGUCACCAUUUUACUUAUUUUAAGCCAGAGAACUAAAUACAAAGUACGAAACUCAAAGGAUUUGGCGGUAUCUUAUACCUAACUAGAGGAGCCUGCCUUUUAAACCGAUAGCCCGCGUGACACCUUACCAACCCUUGCUUUCCCCGCCUGUAUACCAUCGUCGUCAGCCUACUUUGUGAAAACACAACAGCAGGCAAAACGGACUUGCCAGGACGUCAGAUCAAGGUGCAGCUCAUGGGUUUGGGAACGGUUGGCUACACUCCUCAAUUAGCGACAGAUUGUGGCUUGCAAUAGCCACACGAAGAAGGAUUUAGCCGUAGUAAAAGAUAGCACACUUUUACGAAGAAAGCUCUGAGAUGCGUACACAUCGCCCGUCACUUCCCCCACUUUAACAAUUAAUUUUUAACCACUACCCAAAUAGAGGGGGAAAAAGUCGUAACAUAGUAGGCGUACUGGAAAGUGCGCCUGGCCCAC